AAAAAUGGUAUUUCCCUAGUAACGGCGAGUGAACCGGGAAGAGCUCAAAUUUGAAAUCUGGCGUGCUCAGUGCGUCCGAGUUGUAAUCUAUAGAGUCGUUUUCCGUGCCGGACUGUGUCCAAGUCCCUUGGAACAGGGUAUCAAAGAGGGUGAUAAUCCCGUACUUGACACAAUGACCGGUGCUCUGUGAUACGUCUUCUACGAGUCGAGUUGUUUGGGAAUGCAGCUCAAAAUGGGUGGUGAGUUCCAUCUAAAGCUAAAUAUUGGCGAGAGACCGAUAGCGAACAAGUACCGUGAGGGAAAGAUGAAAAGCACUUUGGAAAGAGAGUUAAACAGUACGUGAAAUUGUUAAAAGGGAAACGAUUGAAGUCAGUCGUGACUGAGAGGCUCAGCCGGUUCUGCCGGUGUAUUCCCCUCAGUCGGGUCAACAUCAGUUUUGUUCGGUGGAUAAGGGCAGUUGGAAGGUGGCACCCUCGGGUGUGUUAUAGCCAGCUGUCGCAUACAUCGGAUGAGACUGAGGAAUGCAGCUCGCCUUUAUGGCCGGGGUUCGCCCACGUUCGAGCUUAGGAUGUUGACAUAAUGGCUUUAAACGACCCGUCUUGACCCCGGAAACCAAAA
rnacentral:rRNA from 1 species